AGUCGAACGGCAGCACGGGGGCAACCCUGGUGGCGAGUGGCGAACGGGUGAGUAAUACAUCGGAACGUGUCCUGUAGUGGGGGAUAGCCCGGCGAAAGCCGGAUUAAUACCGCAUACGCUCUGCGGAGGAAAGCGGGGGAUCCUUCGGGACCUCGCGCUACAGGGGCGGCCGAUGGCAGAUUAGCUAGUUGGUGGGGUAAAGGCCUACCAAGGCGACGAUCUGUAGCUGGUCUGAGAGGACGACCAGCCACACUGGGACUGAGACACGGCCCAGACUCCUACGGGAGGCAGCAGUGGGGAAUUUUGGACAAUGGGCGAAAGCCUGAUCCAGCAAUGCCGCGUGUGUGAAGAAGGCCUUCGGGUUGUAAAGCACUUUUGUCCGGAAAGAAAACCUCCGCCCUAAUACGGUGGGGGGAUGACGGUACCGGAAGAAUAAGCACCGGCUAACUACGUGCCAGCAGCCGCGGUAAUACGUAGGGUGCAAGCGUUAAUCGGAAUUACUGGGCGUAAAGCGUGCGCAGGCGGUCCGCUAAGACAGAUGUGAAAUCCCCGGGCUUAACCUGGGAACUGCAUUUGUGACUGGCGGGCUAGAGUAUGGCAGAGGGGGGUAGAAUUCCACGUGUAGCAGUGAAAUGCGUAGAGAUGUGGAGGAAUACCGAUGGCGAAGGCAGCCCCCUGGGCCAAUACUGACGCUCAUGCACGAAAGCGUGGGGAGCAAACAGGAUUAGAUACCCUGGUAGUCCACGCCCUAAACGAUGUCAACUAGUUGUCGGGUCUUCAUUGACUUGGUAACGUAGCUAACGCGUGAAGUUGACCGCCUGGGGAGUACGGUCGCAAGAUUAAAACUCAAAGGAAUUGACGGGGACCCGCACAAGCGGUGGAUGAUGUGGAUUAAUUCGAUGCAACGCGAAAAACCUUACCUACCCUUGACAUGUAUGGAAUCCUGCUGAGAGGUGGGAGUGCCCGAAAGGGAGCCAUAACACAGGUGCUGCAUGGCUGUCGUCAGCUC
rnacentral:rRNA from 1 species